CAUCAGCAUCCAGCAGAAACCAUCGAUCGAUCGAUCGCCGGACACAGCAUCGAUUCUCCUCGCACACGCACAUACGGAUUCAGUCGAUCGAUAGAUAUACGUGAUGGAGAAUGAGAGGAACAACCAGGCUCCACCCCUACCCCCAGGCUACUACCCAUCCGCGGCUGCGGAGCAACGUCAAGGCGGCGGCGAAAAGGGAUUCAUCCAAGGAUGCCUGGCCGCGCUCUGCUGCUGCUGGAUCUGCGGCAUGUGCUACGACUAACUCGCCGGUCGCUGCCGGCACAAGACGUUGGUGCUAGUAUAGACCUAUGAAGAGCAUACACACAGAGAGACUCGUUGCUUAGUUAAGUGUUUGUUUGUUGUUUUAGGUAGUGCAAAAAAUACCCCGCAAAAAAAAAGUAGUGCAGAAAAUAACCGAGAACGCAUGCAUGAGUGGUGUCCAUGUAACUUACCGUGCGUAUCC